rnacentral:rRNA from 1 species
GACGAACGCUGGCGGCGUGCCUAAUACAUGCAAGUUGAGCGCUGAAGGUUGGUACUUGUACCAACUGGAUGAGCAGCGAACGGGUGAGUAACGCGUGGGGAAUCUGCCUUUGAGCGGGGGACAACAUUUGGAAACGAAUGCUAAUACCGCAUAAAAACUUUAAACACAAGUUUUAAGUUUGAAAGAUGCAAUUGCAUCACUCAAAGAUGAUCCCGCGUUGUAUUAGCUAGUUGGUGAGGUAAAGGCUCACCAAGGCGAUGAUACAUAGCCGACCUGAGAGGGCGAUCGGCCACAUUGGGACUGGGACACGGCCCAAACUCCUACGGGAGGCAGCAGUAGGGAAUCUUCGGCAAUGGACGAAAGUCUGACCGAGCAACGCCGCGUGAGUGAAGAAGGUUUUCGGAUCGUAAAACUCUGUUGGUAGAGAAGAACGUUGGUGAGAGUGGAAAGCUCAUCAAGUGACGGUAACUACCCAGAAAGGGACGGCUAACUACGUG